rfam:Felis catus isolate Cinnamon breed Abyssinian chromosome A2, whole genome shotgun sequence.
GCCUGGGUGGCUCAGUUGGUUGAGCAUCUGACUCUUGAUUUCGGCUCAGGUCAUGAUCCCAGGGUCACGGGAUCGAGCCCUGUGUCAGGCU